GGAGCAAACGAAGUGAAGCAUGUUAUUUAAUACGAAAGUACGCGUAAAAUCUUACCAGUUCUUGCAUAGCCAAUCCCUCUUAAUUAUUGAAAUAAAAACUACUCAAUCACUUUGUUCGAAGAGAAGAUAUUUAUUUAUUUUUUCUUCCCCAUAGGGAAAAGAAGAUUUUUAUUUUAAAUUUAAGACUGGAUUGAGUGAUAAUUAUUUAUUAAUAAGUUUUUUUCCCUUUUUUUUCUUCUCUAUCUUUAUAUACACCUUUGCUUUCGUCCCCAUUCAUAGGGAGGUGCAAAGGCAAAAGUAGAGAUAGUAAUAGAGGAGACGAAAAUAGUGUAAGAAUA
rnacentral:rRNA from 1 species